GACGAACGCUGGCGGCGUGCUUAACACAUGCAAGUCGAACGGAAAGGCCCUUCAGGGUCCUCGAGUGGCGAACGGGUGAGUAACACGUGGGUGAUCUGCCCUGCACUUUGGGAUAAGCCUGGGAAACUGGGUCUAAUACCGAAUAGGACCACGCGCUUCAUGGUGUGUGGUGGAAAGCUUUUGCGGUGUGGGAUGGGCCCGCGGCCUAUCAGCUUGUUGGUGGGGUAAUGGCCUACCAAGGCGACGACGGGUAGCCGGCCUGAGAGGGUGACCGGCCACACUGGGACUGAGAUACGGCCCAGACUCCUACGGGAGGCAGCAGUGGGGAAUAUUGCACAAUGGGCGCAAGCCUGAUGCAGCGACGCCGCGUGAGGGAUGACGGCCUUCGGGUUGUAAACCUCUUUCAAUAGGGACGAAGCGCAAGUGACGGUACCUAUAGAAGAAGCACCGGCCAACUACGUG
rnacentral:rRNA from 1 species